rnacentral:rRNA from 1 species
AGUGAACGCUGGCGGCGGGCCUAAUACAUGCAAGUCGAAAGAAGUGGCGCACGGGUGAGUAAUAUAUAGCUAAUCUGCCCCUUGCUGGAGGACAACAGUUAGAAAUGACUGCUAAAACUCCAUAGCAAGGGAUGAGACUAGAUCGUAUCAGCUAGUCGGUGGGGUAACGGCCUACCGAGGCUAUGACGCGUAACUGGUGUGAGAGGAUGAUCAGCCGACUUAGAACUGAGACACGGUUCAAGCUCCUACGGCAGGCAGCACUAGGCAGAAUUGCUCAAUGGGGGAAACCCUUACGCAGCAACGCCGCAUAGAGGAUUACACUUGUCGGAGCAUGAACUCCUUUUGUUAGGGAAUCGGUACCCAACGAAUAAGCACCGGCUAACUCCGUGCCAGCAGCCGCGGUAAUUC